rnacentral:rRNA from 1 species
AGGGGAGCUUCCCAUACGGGUUGAAGCAUGACCGUAAGGACAUGUGGACAGUAUGGGAGUGAGAAUGUUGGCAUGAGUAGCGAGAUGUGGGUGAGAAUCCCCCAGGCCGUAAACCCAAGGUUUCCAGGGGAAGGUUCGUCCGCCCUGGGUUAGUCGGGACCUAAGCUGAGGCCGAAAGGCGUAGGUGAUGGACAACAGGUUGAUAUUCCUGUACU